rnacentral:rRNA from 1 species
AUUGAACGCUGGCGGCAUGCCUUACACAUGCAAGUCGAACGGCAGCACGGGAGCAAUCCUGGUGGCGAGUGGCGAACGGGUGAGUAAUAUAUCGGAACGUGCCCAGUCGUGGGGGAUAACGUAGCGAAAGCUACGCUAAUACCGCAUACGAUCUAUGGAUGAAAGCGGGGGAUCGCAAGACCUCGCGCGAUUGGAGCGGCCGAUAUCAGAUUAGGUAGUUGGUGAGGUAAAGGCUCACCAAGCCGACGAUCUGUAGCUGGUCUGAGAGGACGACCAGCCACACUGGGACUGAGACACGGCCCAGACUCCUACGGGAGGCAGCAGUGGGGAAUAUUGGACAAUGGNGCAAGACCGUGAUCCAGCAAUGCCGCGU